GUUAAGUCGACCGCCUGGGGAGUACGGCCGCAAGGUUAAAACUCAAAUGAAUUGACGGGGGCCCGCACAAGCGGUGGAGCAUGUGGUUUAAUUCGAUGCAACGCGAAGAACCUUACCUGGUCUUGACAUCCACGGAAGUUUUCAGAGAUGAGAAUGUGCCUUCGGGAACCGUGAGACAGGUGCUGCAUGGCUGUCGUCAGCUCGUGUUGUGAAAUGUUGGGUUAAGUCCCGCAACGAGCGCAACCCUUAUCCUUUGUUGCCAGCGGUCCGGCCGGGAACUCAAAGGAGACUGCCAGUGAUAAACUGGAGGAAGGUGGGGAUGACGUCAAGUCAUCAUGGCCCUUACGACCAGGGCUACACACGUGCUACAAUGGCGCAUACAAAGAGAAGCGACCUCGCGAGAGCAAGCGGACCUCAUAAAGUGCGUCGUAGUCCGGAUUGGAGUCUGCAACUCGACUCCAUGAAGUCGGAAUCGCUAGUAAUCGUGGAUCAGAAUGCCACGGUGAAUACGUUCCCGGGCCUUGUACACACCGCCCGUCACACCAUGGGAGUGGGUUGCAAAAGAAGUAGGUAGCUUAACCUUCGGGAGGGCGCUUACCACUUUGUGAUUCAUGACUGGGGUGAAGUCGUAACAAGGUAACCGUAGGGGAACCUGCGGUUGGAUCACCUCCUUACCUGAAAGAA
rnacentral:rRNA from 1 species